UUCACUUUUAUUACUUGUGGGAAUCAUAAAAGUAAGAUUACUUGUUUGUACUGUUAUUAUUUUUUAAUUUUAGGAAAGCGUAAUGUCCAACAUUAGUUUGUAGGAAAGCUUGUCUACCCGCUUACUAAUGACCGUUUUAGGUUGUUCAGCAUUGUGGUUGUGCUCAUCCAUUCAUAUCUCUUAUGGUUUUUCAAUAUGUGUAGCCUCUAUAUUUAUAUUUGGCAUGUCUUAUUUAUAUCUUUCUUGUCACUGCCUAAUAAUCAUUUUGUUGCCACCUAAUAAUCAUUUUUAUUAUUUAAUUGGAGACAUGUAUAGCGGUGCUGCUGGUCUGGUGUCAUUGUUUGAAUUUUGGUGAAGAUUUGCAUACUUGCUGAUAAAUUAUAUUAAUUGAAUAAAAAAAAUCUAGCUGCAACCAUGAUUUGAAUCAGGCUUGUGUAUGAAAUAUAUAUGUAAUUGAUUUGCAUACGAAGGUUAAAAUCAACCAUGACUGCCUGCAUGUUUAUCCGUGUAUCUUUCGUUUGUUUCAAUCUUUAGUAAAUUACAGGAGAAGAUGGUAUGAACUAAGCUUUGUUGUUGUCCCCAUUGUUUACAGUUAGUUCUGGUAUUAUUGCCAAAGCCUUAAUGUUGAAAAUCAUAUAACUAUGUGGGAGAAUAUUUUAACUAAAUUCUUGUCUGACAUGUUUACGUUUUCAGCAUUGAAGGUACACAUGACCGCUACCAGCAUUUCGUUGGGUCCGGGAGGGAUCUAAAUGAAGGUGUAAGCACCAACUAUGUCAAAACUCACAGGAUGAAAAUGCAAGUAUAGAGUCCAACUUCUGGAGACUAUCCAAGAGACCAUCAAUGUAGACAGAGGAAAUGAGUAGAAUUGUUAAUGAGCUGGAUUCCAUCCAUUUAUCCAUUAAAAAGGCAUCACAAAUGGUGAAAGAAAUUGGUAGGCAGGUUGCAACUGAUCAAUGUAAUACAACAUCCUUUGUAUAGAAUGGGAGCAGUUCAAAAUUAUGAUUACAAAUGUGUCUUACUUGGAAAGAGUAGAGAGUUGGCCCUAGCCAUCGCAAUGAUUUCAUCUACACUAAUAUAAAAAGUACCAAGAAGUAUAUAUGUUUAAGUGCUCUGUGCAGGUUUAAAUUUCUUUAAUAGUCAAGAACAUGUAACCAAUCUAUGCAGGUUAAAUUUUUGCCCAAGCUACAUAGCUUGAUGGCCUGGUGCUGCAGGGUGUAUGACUUAAUUCUGAUUUGCUGGAUGUAAUUUGCUUGACUUCAAUAUUAAUUGGAUGUAUUUUUUUAAGUCCUACUAGGCACUUAUUCUUGAUUUAAUUAUUGAUUAUGCAUGAUCAACAGAAGAGGCUCUCUCAAAGCUUGAAUUCAUAAUUUUUAAGGAGAACGCACAUGAUAGAACCAUUGGAACUUAAAAGUUUCAGUGUAAGCAGAGAUUGGUUUUGAUGAGUAACUUUAUUAUGAAUGGAAAAAUUGUCCAAUAUCUUUGGAGCUUGCAGAAAGUUAAGAUUUCUUAAUAUUUUAGCUGCCACUUCAUGGUAGCUGCCACUUCAUGGUAACUUUAUUAUGAAUGAAAUCACAUAAUGCAGCCACAGAUAUUAGGCGGUGAUGCUGUUGCCAAAGACAGCCAUAGAGCCAUUGGUGGUAGGUCCUCUUAUGAGUAAGGUUGAAAAUAUGUGUUGUUACUAUCCACUUCCCUUCCCUGAUCCCUUCAAUUUGUUUUUCUUUGCAUCAUUUCUAAACUUUUUGGUUCUGCUUAUUUUAAGCUCUUGUGUUGAAGUCAAACAGAACACUAACGGGCCACAGCUAAGGUUGGAGGUAAUGUGCUCUUUGCAGGGAUUAGAGGAGGUGUCAGAUAAUAGCAUCAGAGGAUGACAUGUCAAUGAGGUAACAUGUUACCCAUGCUUUGUAUUUAUGAUCAGUGGUGCAUGCAUAAAUAAGAAAGCUACAUCUAUAUUCUCUCUUAAAUGCAAAGAAACCUUAAACUUUCUUUAAAAGGGGGGAAAAUGGGAUAUGCAUGUAUACCUAUUAACCCAUGGAGUAACAACUAAAAGGCGGUUUUUGUUCUACACCCUUUUGAUUUCCCUAGCCUCAAGCUCGUAGGAUUUGACCUAAAAAUCACAUUGUUAAUAUGUCUAUUAGCAAAUUAGGUUCAACUUGAUUAUGCAUCUAGGGUAGCUUAGCUAGUUUUUAUCACACUACAUCCAAGUUAGACAUCUUAUUAUGAUAUACCGUUAUUUUAGUAAAUCACAAUAAUCGUGUUUUGGUCUUACGGCCCUAAUCUCCAGCCAAAUCUCUCCACUAGGCUACAAGGGCUACU